AACGAACGCUGGCGGCGCGCCUAAUACAUGCAAGUCGAGCGAGAAGACGUAGCAAUACGUUUGUAAAGCGGCGAACGGGUGAGGAAUACAUGGGUAACCUACCCUCGAGUGGGGAAUAACUAGCCGAAAGGUUAGCUAAUACCGCAUACGACUCUCGGUCUGCGGAUCGAGAGGGAAAGCGAUACCGUGGGUAUCGCGCUCCUGGAUGGGCUCAUGUCCUAUCAGCUUGUUGGUGAGGUAACGGCUCACCAAGGCUUCGACGGGUAGCUGGUCUGAGAGGACGAUCAGCCACACUGGCACUGCGACACGGGCCAGACUCCUACGGGAGGCAGCAGUAAGGAGUAUUGCGCAAUGGGCGACAGCCUGACGCAGCGACGCCGCGUGGGGGAUGAAGGUCUUCGGAUUGUAAACCCCUUUCGGCAGGGAAGAUGGAGCGGGUAACCGCUCGGACGGUACCUGCAGAAGCAGCCACGGCUAACUUCGUGCCAGCCGCCGCAGUAAUAC
rnacentral:rRNA from 1 species